AAUAUAGAGCACACAAGUAAACCAUAGAUGAUAUAGAAGAUUAAGAAUCCUUAGGUGAUUGAUUGAUUAUCAAUGGAGUUCUAAUCGGAGGAUGAAAGGUACUCGAGGAGAAUAAGGAGUCAUUGAUAUAUUUCAAUGACACAUGUGUGAAGUCUGAUAAUGAGAAUACAUUCGAUUAUUUCAACUGCGGUGAAGACGAUGGUAUGGAUGAAGACGAAGUUUCUAAAUCGACGAAACAGAGGAAGGAGUCUGAUAAUGAUGGAGCUUAUAAGAAAGAAAUGACAGCUAAAGAUUAUGAUAGUGAAGGAAAUAGAAAAUCAGACAAAAAAAAAGAUAGGUAUGACAGCAACAAGGUAAGGGAACAAAAUCGAGAUCAAGAAAAUGCAAUUACUGGUUCUGAGGUACUGGUUAUUGUUUACUAUAAGUUUCUUGAUUGGUAAUCAAUGAUAGAAAUUAUUAACUUAACAUUUUUAACGGGAGAAAGUCGAAAUGGAAAAGAAACCAAUAACAAUGACUUUUUUUUCAUUUGACUUCCUCCCAUUAGAAAUUAGAAGUGUUAAUUUCUAUCCAUCAAUUCCCAAUAAAAAAUCUUAUAUUACAGUAGACAAUAAACAGUAGACAAUAAACAGUACCUCGUAAUCAGAAUCAGUAGUUGCAUUUGCUUGAUCUCGGUCUUGUUCCCUUAUCUUGUUGUUGUCAUACUUGUGUCUUUUGUCAGUAUCAGACUCCCUUCUCUGUGUCCUCGAUUUUGAAACUCCUUCUUCAUCCAUACCAUCGUCUUCACCGCAGUUGAAAUAAUCAAAUGUAUUCUCAUGAUCAGACUUCACACAUAUGUCAUUAAAAUUCAUACAAGUUUUCAACACAUUUGUAAUAGUUUAAUUCUAUAAAUUUGUAAUAGUUUAAUAGUUUGUAUAAGUUUUGUGAAUAAAGUUGUCACAAAAAAAAUAUUAAUAAUACAAUAUAUAAAAUAUUUAAUAUAUAUUUCAGAUGUAAA